rnacentral:tRNA from 1 species
AUUUAAGUAGUUUAAUGUUUAAAAUAUUGAUUUGUGGUAUCAAAGAUAUAAUAAAUUUAUUGUCUUAGAUU